UCCUACGGGAGGCAGCAGUGGGGGAUAUUGCACAAUGGGGGAAACCCUGAUGCAGCGACGCCGCGUGAGGGAAGACGGUCCUCGGAUUGUAAACCUCUGUCUUCGGGGACGAAACGAGACGGUACCCGAGGAGGAAGCCACGGCUAACUACGUGCCAGCAGCCGCGGUAAUACGUAGGUGGCAAGCGUUGUCCGGAAUUACUGGGUGUAAAGGGAGCGUAGGCGGGCAGGCAAGUCAGGCGUGAAAUAUAUCGGCUCAACCGGUAACGGCGCUUGAAACUGCAGGUCUUGAGUGAAGUAGAGGUUGGCGGAAUUCCUAGUGUAGCGGUGAAAUGCGUAGAUAUUAGGAGGAACACCAGUGGCGAAGGCGGCCAACUGGGCUUUUACUGACGCUGAGGCUCGAAAGUGUGGGGAGCAAACAGGAUUAGAUACCCUGGUAGUCCACACCGUAAACGAUGAUUACUAGGUGUGGGGGGACUGACCCCUUCCGUGCCGGAGUUAACACAAUAAGUAAUCCACCU
rnacentral:rRNA from 1 species